rnacentral:rRNA from 1 species
CAGCCGCCGCGGUAACACGUAGGGUGCAAGCGUUAAUCGGAAUUACUGGGCGUAAAGCGUGCGCAGGCGGUUAUAUAAGACAGAUGUGAAAUCCCCGGGCUCAACCUGGGAACUGCAUUUGUGACUGUAUAGCUAGAGUACGGCAGAGGGGGAUGGAAUUCCGCGUGUAGCAGUGAAAUGCGUAGAUAUGCGGAGGAACACCGAUGGCGAAGGCAAUCCCCUGGGCCUGUACUGACGCUCAUGCACGAAAGCGUGGGGAGCAAACAGGAUUAGAGACCCCUGUAGUCCCUGUCUCUUAUAC